UUCGGGGUACUCGAGUGGCGAACGGGUGAGUAACACGUGGGUGAUCUGCCUCGUACUCUGGGAUAAGCCUGGGAAACUGGGUCUAAUACCGGAUAGGACCAUUCUCUGCAUGGGGGGUGGUGGAAAGUUUUUCGGUACGAGAUGGGCCCGCGGCCUAUCAGCUUGUUGGUGGGGUAAUGGCCUACCAAGGCGACGACGGGUAGCCGGCCUGAGAGGGCGACCGGCCACACUGGGACUGAGACACGGCCCAGACUCCUACGGGAGGCAGCAGUGGGGAAUAUUGCACAAUGGGCGCAAGCCUGAUGCAGCGACGCCGCGUGAGGGAUGACGGCCUUCGGGUUGUAAACCUCUUUCACCAGGGGCGAAUGUGACGGUACCUGGAGAAGAAGCACCGGCCAACUACGUGCCAGCAGCCGCGGUAAUACGUAGGGUGCGAGCGUUGUCCGGAAUUACUGGGCGUAAAGAGCUCGUAGGCGGUUUGUCGCGUCGUUCGUGAAAACCCGAUGCUUAACAUCGGGCGUGCGGGCGAUACGGGCAGACUUGAGUACUACAGGGGAGACUGGAAUUCCUGGUGUAGCGGUGAAAUGCGCAGAUAUCAGGAGGAACACCGGUGGCGAAGGCGGGUCUCUGGGUAGUAACUGACGCUGAGGAGCGAAAGCGUGGGUAGCGAACAGGAUUAGAUACCCUGGUAGUCCACGCCGUAAACGGUGGGUACUAGGUGUGGGUUCCUUUCACGGGAUCCGUGCCGUAGCUAACGCAU
rnacentral:rRNA from 1 species